rnacentral:rRNA from 1 species
GCAUAUCAAUAAGCGGAGGAAAAGAAAAUAACAAUGAUUCCCUUAGUAACUGCGAGUGAAGAGGGAUAAGCUCAAAUUUUAAAUCUGUUAGGUUUACCUAACCGAGUUGUAAUUUGAAGAGGCGUUUUCUACGUUUUUGAUCAGUCCAAAUUCCUUGGAAUAGGAUAUCAUGGAGGGUGAGAAUCCCGUUCGGCUGAUCGAUACGUUUUACGAUACGCUUUCAAAGAGUCAAGUUGUUUGGGAUUGCAGCUUAAAAUGGGAGGUAAAUUUCUCCUAAGGCUAAAUAUUGGCGAGAGACCGAUAGCGAACAAGUACCGUGAGGGAAAGAUGAAAAGAACUUUGAAAAGAGAGUAAAACAGUGCGUGAAAUUGUUGAAAGGGAAACGAUUAAAGUCAGUCGUACCGACGAGUAAUCAACUUUUAUGAGUGCGAUUUUGUGGAUCAUGAUGAGCCUAACGGCCUUCUAGUUUGCAAAUUUGUGUUCUUGGGGUGUACUUGCUCGUAUGGUGAGUUAACAUCAAUUUCGUUCGUUAUAAAAUGAUUGGGGAAAUGUAGCUUUGAUCUCGUAUUGAAGUGUUAUAGACCCUGGUAGAUGUAAUGAUCGGGAUUGAGGAUUGCAACGGAUGCUCUUCGGGGCUAUUCGUCUGGCCUCUGUGGGUCACCUUGGUGUCGAAAGCUUGCUUAUGGCGUUAAGGAAGGUUCUCAAAAGGUUAGAACGGAUUAAAUUCGUUAAGGAUGUUGACGUA